GAGCAAAGGGGCCUGAUUAAGUGGCGAAUCUUUGCAUUGAAGGUUGGCAAUAGCGAAUGCAGUUCUCCGUGCCACUCAGACUUGCUCUGCUGUGAUGGCCUCGAACAAUCUGCUACAUA
rfam:Triticum aestivum genome assembly, contig: Triticum_aestivum_CS42_TGACv1_scaffold_289290_4AL